UGGUUAAUUGAACAAUUUUUUAUGGUAAGAUGCGGUUUACUUCCACAUAUCUUUAACUUCCUUGGUUUUUCAUACAGCAAACAGACAAGUGUGGAAACCAUCAACCAGAAUAUCGCAAGCUAGAACCUGUCAUGCAUAUAUGUUUUUCAGGCCACAACAUCAUGCUGUUAUUAUUCAUUGCAUUAUGAAGUACGUAUUGCAAGGAGCUUAGUUCGCUGCUUGGAAAGAUGCAAGCCCUCCUCACAUCUUUAUGUUGAAAAAUGUGGCAACAUCAUGUAACUGAGAGCUUUUGAGCUAGGUGUUGCCUCCAGACUGCAACCAUAUCCUUUUGAUGGAGGAUAUUGCAGAGUUUCCCUUCUUGGUCAGACUGCAAUAUUAGUGGCACUGACAAAAAAAGAGUCACUUCCAUAAUACUGGCUCCUGUCUUUCACCCCCGCCAUCUUUCACUUGGAGCAGCAUAAGAGCUGAAGAACAAUGACCUACAAGUGUCUUCAACACUUCAUCUAUCUUGAAGAUAUGGAAAUUGCUGACUGCUCUUAGCUCUAGUCGCUAAAAAAAGAGUUGUUGGUGUCCUCCCCUGCUUCCACUAUGCAUGAAAAAUAUGGUUUUCAUUGUCCAAAUUACCAUAUAAUAAGAGAAAGGAAGGGAAAGAAUGGCCCUAAGGUUUCUGAUAUAAACUGCAUAGCUUUCAAUAGUGAGCUAAUUCUAUAUUGAAUCUUGCUUGUCAGUCGCAAGAGCUUGACCUCGGGGGCGUAAAGGUACGUUCUUCUGUUAGAUUCAUUUUCUUGGAAUGCUCCAGUGCCUCAAAUAACGGGAGCAUCAUUUGCUGUGCAUAUGAUCCCAGCUUCUUGAUGAUAAUUUUGUCAACUUACUCUUUAGUUCUUGUUUCUCUUUCAGAAUUUUUCUCCAUGUUCAUGGCCAACUUUGCAAAACAUAGGAUUUGCCUACUCCAAGGAUCCUAUCGAAAAAGUGCUAGCCACAUCAUACUUCUUGCCUUGCAUUUGCAAAUUACAUGUUCAAGAAUUUUUCAACAUUUGAGGUGACAUUCGUCCUCCUUUUUCAGUUCAUUCCUUCCUAGUCACUUUUUAGAUUAGAUCAUGGAAAAACUUUUCCUUUUAUGCAAUUAACAAUACGGGCGCAAUGUGCAAUUUCCAUUGCAUUUCUUAUUUGGUUUCAAUUUUAGUUUUGAAUACUCCUGGCAUAUUUUUGUUUCUAUCACAUCACUGAAGUGAAUUUGGGAAGUAUUAACAUGAUUGUAUCUGCAUUCAUCAGAGAAAAACUUCAAAUCAUCACUAUUACUACCACUAUCACAUCCACUAAGAAAUGGAGAUUAGAGUUAAAGAACUAAACGCAAAGCAGAUUAUGAAACUUCAAAAGGAAAUUAAGAUUCCAACCUUUUCUGCAACUAAUGCAAUGGCUCUGAGGGCAGCAGCGGGUCCCUUCGUUUGUUUCAGGUGAAGAGAGGGGAGCUUGGUAGCGCUCGAGGCAGCUAUUUCUACUAUGUAGAUCUGUAGCUGUAAACUCAUGUUUUGAAUGGUUUCUGAUUUUGGAAAACACGUGGAGUUGGAAUUUUUCUAGAGAAAUGUCUGGACGCUGAUUCGCAAAUUCGAGUGCAUCUUAGUUAUUCGGUGGGUGCAAAAUGGCCUUUAUGCAAUCUGUUGGCAAAAUUUCGAUCUCUUCUAUAACAGCUUCAUGUGUCAGUUGCUCAUGUCUUUCGAGAACCAAAUUCGAUAGCAGAUCCCUUGGCUUCACUUUCCUUGAAUGGGCAGCAUGUUUUCAUUUGGAACCAGCUACCUAGUCAAUGUAGGUCGCCAUUGCACUGAACAAAUUUGAUUUAUCUUAAUUGAGGCAUCGUUGUCGGACAAACUGGUAUGCCUUUUUCAUUGAAUAUAAUCUACGGUCUGAUUGUGUUCGUCACUUGCAACCAAG